CACGUAGGGUGCGAGCGUUGUCCGGAAUUAUUGGGCAUAAAGAGCUCGUAGGCGGUGUGUCGCGUCGGCCGUGAAAACCUGCAGCUUAACUGUGGGCGUGCGGUCGAUACGGGCAUCACUGGAGUUCGGCAGGGGAGACUGGAAUUCCUGGUGUAGCGGUGAAAUGCGCAGAUAUCAGGAGGAACACCGGUGGCGAAGGCGGGUCUCUGGGCCGAUACUGACGCUGAGGAGCGAAAGCGUGGGGAGCAAACAGG
rnacentral:rRNA from 1 species